GCCUUCCUGGUGUAGUUGUCAGCACGCCCGACGCGUAAUCGAGAGGUCGGUGGUUCGAUUCCCACCGAAGGCA
rnacentral:tRNA from 1 species